rnacentral:rRNA from 1 species
CAAACCGACACAGGUGGUCAGGUAGAGAAUACCAAGGCGCUUGAGAGAACUCGGGUGAAGGAACUAGGCAAAAUGGUGCCGUAACUUCGGGAGAAGGCACGCUGACACGUAGGUGAAGUGAUUUACUCAUGGAGCUGAAGUCAGUCGAAGAUACCAGCUGGCUGCAACUGUUUAUUAAAAACACAGCACUGUGCAAACACGAAAGUGGACGUAUACGGUGUGACGCCUGCCCGGUGCCGGAAGGUUAAUUGAUGGGGUCAGCGUAAGCGAAGCUCCUGAUCGAAGCCCCGGUAAACGGCGGCCGUAACUAUAACGGUCCUAAGGUAGCGAAAUUCCUUGUCGGGUAAGUUCCGACCUGCACGAAUGGCGUAAUGAUGGCCAGGCUGUCUCCACCCGAGACUCAGUGAAAUUGAACUCGCUGUGAAGAUGCAGUGUACCCGCGGCAAGACGGAAAGACCCCGUGAACCUUUACUAUAGCUUGACACUGAACAUUGAGCCUUGAUGUGUAGGAUAGGUGGGAGGCUUUGAAGUGUGGACGCCAGUCUGCAUGGAGCCGACCUUGAAAUACCACCCUUUAAUGUUUGAUGUUCUAACGUGGACCCGUAAUCCGGGUUGCGGACAGUGUCUGGUGGGUAGUUUGACUGGGGCGGUCUCCUCCUAAAGAGUAACGGAGGAGCACGAAGGUUGGCUAAUCCUGGUCGGACAUCAGGAGGUUAGUGCAAUGGCAUAAGCCAGCUUGACUGCGAGCGUGACGGCGCGAGCAGGUGCGAAAGCAGGUCAUAGUGAUCCGGUGGUUCUGAAUGGAAGGGCCAUCGCUCAACGGAUAAAAGGUACUCCGGGGAUAACAGGCUGAUACCGCCCAAGAGUUCAUAUCGACGGCGGUGUUUGGCACCUCGAUGUCGGCUCAUCACAUCCUGGGGCUGAAGUAGGUCCCAAGGGUAUGGCUGUUCGCCAUUUAAAGUGGUACGCGAGCUGGGUUUAGAACGUCGUGAGACAGUUCGGUCCCUAUCUGCCGUGGGCGCUGGAGAACUGAGGGGGGCUGCUCCUAGUACGAGAGGACCGGAGUGGACGCAUCACUGGUGUUCGGGUUGUCAUGCCAAUGGCACUGCCCGGUAGCUAAAUGCGGAAGAGAUAAGUGCUGAAAGCAUCUAAGCACGAAACUUGCCCCGAGAUGAGUUCUCCCUGAGACUUAGAGUCUCCUGAAGGAACGUUGAAGACGACGACGUUGAUAGGCCGGGUGUGUAAGCGCAGCGAUGCGUUGAGCUAACCGGUACUAAUGAACCGUGAGGCUUAACCUUACA